rnacentral:lncRNA from 1 species
CUCCUUUUAAUUGGCGGCUAUCAAAUAGAUCAGAAAAUGUUACGAGAUUUAGAUUAAUUGAAUUCAGUAUAAGUUCAAGGCAUAUUAGAGCUCUAACCAUGUUUCGGCUUGUGAUCAAUCCAUAGAUACCAAUCGAAAAUAAAUAGACACUCAAAAAAAGUACAUGCUCAAACAUCAUUAACUAACUCCUUAUCAAUCUCGAUUCAUUUCAAUAUGGGGACAAGAAUUGAACCGAUUGAAUUAAUUAGAAUAGAACAAUUACACAACAAAAGAGAAAAGAAGGUAUUUGUUGGCAGUAGAUGGGUUUUACUAAAUCAAAAUUGUGGUUCUUUAGUGAUUUAUUUUAGAUUUGAAAUUCUUAGAAUUUUGACUCAUUCUAAGUAUUUCUUAUUGCCGAGCCAUAGUAAUUGCACCUAUUAAAGAAACUAGAAGAAUUAUGGAAAUGAGUUCAAAUGGAAGAUAAAAAUCGGUUGCUAAAUGAAUCCCAAUUUGUUGAACGUUAUUUAUGAGACCCUGUUCUACUAUUUGGUUUGAUCUUGUAGUCCAAAGAAUUCCAUACCAUGACGUAUCUGGGAUAGUAGUCAUUAGUGAAAAAGGAAUAGUUAUACAAACGAGUGAAGUGAACCCAUCUCCAAUAGUCCAAAAAUUCUUAUCUUUAGACCAUUCUGAGCCAUUUACGAACAUUACGGCAAAUAUGAUCAAGACAUUUAUAGCUCCCACAUAAAUAAGAAGUUGUGCCACAGCUACAAAGUAGGAAUUCAAUAAAAUAUAGAAUAAGGAUAUACAAACAAGAACUAAUCCUAGCGAAAAAGCAGAAAAAGUUGGGUUGGUAAGUAAUACCACCCCUAGACCCCCUAGUAGAAGAACAAAUCCCCCAAAUAGCACAAGAAUUUCAUGUAUUGGCCCAGGUAAAUCCAUUAUGGAUAAGAAGAAAUUAAUAGUAUAAAUUUUUUCAUGAACUGACUAAAACUAAAAGAUUCAAGGAAGAAAAAAGGGAUUAGGAAAUUUUUUUGUAUAUUGUAUAUAAGUUCUUUCUAUAGUUAGAAAUCACAUCACGAAAAUCUACUCUGGUUUAAAAUCAGGAAUAAUUUGCAAUAAGCAGUAGGUAUUCGUUUUUCUUUCUAGUUAGUAAAGAACUUUUGGAUUCUAACAAAAAAAUUCUAGUAAUCAGUAAUCGUUCUUGAAUUCCAAGAUUUUUCUUCGUCUAUUUUACUUUGAGUUGAAUUCCUAAUUGUUUGAAUUGUGUAAUCUCCCAUUAUGGAGAUUGGUAACCGACUCAAAGAAAUUUGAUUGUAAUUCAAUUCAUGACGAUCAUAAGUAGAAAGUUCAUAUUCUUCAGUCAUUGAUAAACAGUUUGUCGGACAGUACUCAACACAAUUACCACAAAAUAUACAAACUCCGAAAUCAAUACUAUAAUUAAGCAAUUGUUUCCUUUUAAUAUCCUUUUCAAAUCUCCAAUCCACAAGAGGUAGAUCUAUAGGGCAUACGCGAACACAUACUUCACAAGCAAUACAUUUAUCAAAUUCAAAGUGGAUUCGCCCCCGGAAACGCUCCGAUGUAAUUGAUUUUUCAUAGGGGUAGUGAAUCGUUAUAGGUAAACGAUUUGUGUGGGAUAAGGUAAUUAUGAAACUUUGACCAAUGUACCUUGCUGCGCGUAUUGUUUGUUGACCAUAACUCAUGAACCCAGUUACCAUAGGGAACAUAUUCGAAAUAUCUAUGAAAAAGGUAUGUUUCUUUCUCUUGUUUGAGAGGACUUUUGUGUUGAAAAUAUUCUUACUGUUAUUGUAUUAUCUUAUUUUAUAGUGAAACAAGUUGGGAAGAAGUUGUUAAUAAGAGAUUGCCCAGGGAAAUAGGUAAAAGAAAUUUCCAUCCAAGAUUUAAUAACUGAUCCAUUCUCAUCCUGGGUAAAGUCCAUCUUAUUGUGAUAGAAAUGAAGAGAAAUAAAUAAGCUUUAGUUAAUGUAAUAAAGAUACUCAUUGUCAUUUCUAAAAUUCCAACCAUUUUAUUCAUUUGGAAAAAUCCAAAAAAGGAUAUAUAGGGAAUAGACAAAUUCCACCCGCCUAAGUAGAGAACUGUUACAAAUAAAGAGGAAACUAAUAAAUUUAGGUACGAAACAAGAUAAAAUAAACCAUAUUUGAUACCAGAAUAUUCGGUUUUAUAACCUGCUACUAAUUCUUCCUCCGCUUCUGGUAAAUCAAAGGGUAAUCUUUCACAUUCCGCCAAAGAAGAAAUUAGAAAAACCAGAAAACCUAUAGGCUGACGCCAAAGAUUCCAUCCAAAAAAACCAUAUUUUGACUGUGCUUCAACUAUAUCAACUGUACUUGAACUGUUGGAUAAUCAUAGUCGACGAUAACAUUACAGUUCCCACCGCUAUUCCAAAACCGUACAUGAAACCUUAGUUUCAUACGGCUCCUCUAUGAUGAGAAAAAAGGAAAGUACUGUUUCAUUUCGUUAUUAUCUUCUUGGGCGUAGUUGGAAUUAUCUAAGAUAAAAUCGAUUUCAACGUCCUAAAUUAGACCAAAGGAAUUCUGUCUGCUAGAAUAAUAAAAAACGCUUCGGAAUUCAUCUCAUCCUUUAUAAUAUAAUGGUACUUUUUCUUUGUUCAGCAAUAACUUAAUCUUGGAAUAAAACACUCGUUAUAACAAUUAAUAAACGAAAAGAGUUGGGUAUUAGUUCAUGAAGAAUUCUGUAUGAAUAUGGAUAAACGACGGAAAGAAUAAAUAAAGAUCUUUUUUUUGUAUUGCAUUCCAUAUCUUUUGUCCUAUUCUUCUUUCCCCGAGGGGUAUUUAAAAAGAAAAAAGGAAUAAAGGGUUAAUUCGUUCUUGAUAGCCAUUUCCUUAACAAGUGAAUGGGAACAUACUCUGGAUCGGAAUCCGAAGAAAGUACUACUUGCUCAUUUCCACCAAUUUCAAGUCCUUAUUAUGAUUCCUUUUAUGAGGAAAAAUAUCUAAUGCUUUAGAUUCCCUCAUUACUAAUCCUUUAUGUACUUUAGUGUUUCUAAUCCCUCACUAACUUUUGAUGGAUUCCCUUAUGAUUACAACUUUCUGUAUCGGGAAUCCCUUAUUAUUGCCCGCUUCAAGAUAUGAUGACUAAUCAAAAAAUCUCAACCUUGGGGUAAAGAAUUUACACCGCUUAUGUUUACUUCCAUUUUUUCUUGUACAUAGGAAAUGAGAUUUUUUCUUUUUACUACAAAUUAAUAAGCAGUUUUGUUUCACUCAUAUAGCUAUCUAGUUUAACUUACUAACCUGAAUAUAGAAUAAGAAAAGGAGGAUAAAUAUUCAAUGAAUUUCAGAGGAAAAAGAUCCUAUUUUAACGAAUCGCACGUAGAGAUAUUGCUAGUACACAAAAAGUUAAUGGGAUUUCAUAACUAAUAGAUUGAGCGGCAGCUCGUAGACCACCUGAAAAAGAAUAUUUAUUAUUUGAGCUAUAUCCUGCCAUAAGAAGACCAAUAGGAGCAAUACUUGAAAUGGCAAUCCAUAAAAAAACACCAAUACUAAGAUCCGCUAAAACAAAGCGAUAUCCCAAAGGAAUAACUAAAAAACUUAAUAAAAUUGAUAUGACUGCUAUAGACGGUCCAAUGCUAAAUAAGGGAAUAUCCCCUCGGGAUGGCAAGAUAUCCUCUUUAAAAAGUAGCUUAGUUCCAUCUGCUAUAGCUUGAAGCAGUCCCAGGGGGCCAGCAUAUUCAGGACCAAUACGUUGUUGUAUCGAUGCGGAUAUUUCUCUUUCUAACCACACAAUUACGAGUACUUCUAUUGUGAUUCCAAGUAAGAGGGUCAAAAUGGGUAGAAUCCAUAUCAGUCCAUAGACUUCUUUUAAUAAUUCCAAGUUUGAAAAAGAAUUGAUAGCUUCUACCUGUACCCUGUCUAUUAUCAUUUCAACGAUCAACUUCUCCCAUAAUGAUAUCUAUACUACCUAAUAUCGUCAUGAUAUCAGCCAAUUUCAUUUUUUUGACUAGCUGAGGAAGAAUUUGCAAAUUAAUAAAACCGGGUGGACGAAUUUUCCAUCUCCAGGGGAAAUGACUAUCAUCUCCUACCAGAUAAAUUCCUAAUUCACCUUUUGGGGCUUCCACUCUUGCAUAAAGCUCUUGUUUUGACAAUUCAAAAUUGGGUGAAGGUUUUUUACCAAGAAAUCGAUAUUCAAAAUCAUUCCAUUCGGAAUUCUUUGCUUUCUUAAAGCGUCGGACUUCUAAAUUCUCAUAAGGGCCCCCAGGAAUUUUUUCUACAGCCUGUUGAAUAAUUUUGAUUGAUUCCCUCAUUUCACCGAUUCGUACUAAAUAGCGUGCUAAUGAAUCCCCUUCUUUUUGCCAUUGGACUUUCCAAUCGAAUUGAUUGUAAGACUCGUAAAGAUCAACUUUACGAAGAUCCCAUUGUAUUCCAGAAGCUCGUAACAUGGGGCCCGAUAAGCCCCAAUUUACAGCUUCUUCUCCGCUAAUAAAACCAACUCCCUCAACUCGUUCCAAAAAAAUGGGAUUCUGUGUAAUAAGUUGUUGAUAUUCAAUAACUCCUCGUAAAAAAUAAUCACAGAAAUCUAAACAUUUAUCGAUCCAUCCAUAAGGCAGAUCGGCAGCAACUCCUCCGAUGCGAAAGUAAUUAUGCAUCAUUCGCAUACCUGUAGCAGCUUCAAAUAGAUCAUAUAUUAAUUCUCUCUCUCUAAAAAUAUAAAAAUAAGGAGUCUGCGCACCGAGAUCUGCCAUAAAAGGUCCAAGCCAUAACAAGUGAGAAGCUAUACGGCUCAAUUCUAACAUAAUUACCCUAAUAUAGCUGGCUCUUUGGGGUAUUUGAAUAUUCUCCAAGAAUUCUGGUGCAUUUACCGUUAUUGCUUCUGUAAACAUAGUAGCUAAAUAAUCCCAACGUGUUACAUAAGGUAAGUAUUGUAUAAUAGUUCGGUUUUCCGCGAUUUUUUCCAUUCCUCUGUGUAAAUAGCCUAAAGAACGAAUAAAACCCCUUGUCGAAGCCCUUUAUGAUAAGCUUCCCUGGAUCUGGGAAGUUUCUCUUUCACGG